rnacentral:rRNA from 1 species
UACAGAGGGGGCAAGCGUUAUUCGGAAUUACUGGGCGUAAAGGGCUCGUAGGCGGCCAACUAAGUCAUACGUGAAAUCCCUCGGCUUAACCGGGGAACUGCGUCUGAUACUGGAUGGCUUGAGUUCGGGAGAGGGAUGCGGAAUUCCAGGUGUAGCGGUGAAAUGCGUAGAUAUCUGGAGGGACACCGGUGGCGAAGGCGGCAUCCUGGACCGAUACUGACGCUGAGGAGCGAAAGCCAGGGGAGCAAACGGG